rnacentral:rRNA from 1 species
UACGAAGGGGGCUAGCGUUGUUCGGAAUGACUGGGCGUAAAGCGCGCGUAGGCGGAUCGGAAAGUUGGGGGUGAAAUCCCGGGGCUCAACCCCGGAAUGGCCUUCAAGACUCCCGGUCUUGAGUUCGAGAGAGGUGAGUGGAAUUCCGAGUGUAGAGGUGAAAUUCGUAGAUAUUCGGAGGAACACCAGUGGCGAAGGCGGCUCACUGGCUCGACACUGACGCUGAGGCACGAAAGCGUGGGGAGCGAACAGG